rnacentral:rRNA from 1 species
UCCUACGGGAGGCAGCAGUGGGGAAUAUUGGACAAUGGGGGCAACCCUGAUCCAGCCAUGCCGCGUGUGUGAAGAAGGCCCUCGGGUUGUAAAGCACUUUCAGCGAGGAAGAACGCCUAGCGGUUAAUACCCGCUAGGAAAGACAUCACUCGCAGAAGAAGCACCGGCUAACUCCGUGCCAGCAGCCGCGGUAAUACGGAGGGUGCAAGCGUUAAUCGGAAUUACUGGGCGUAAAGCGCGCGUAGGUGGCUUGAUAAGCCGGUUGUGAAAGCCCCGGGCUCAACCUGGGAACGGCAUCCGGAACUGUCAAGCUAGAGUGCAGGAGAGGAAGGUAGAAUUCCCGGUGUAGCGGUGAAAUGCGUAGAGAUCGGGAGGAAUACCAGUGGCGAAGGCGGCCUUCUGGACUGACACUGACACUGAGGUGCGAAAGCGUGGGUAGCAAACAGGAUUAGAUACCCUGGUAGUCCACGCCGUAAACGAUGUCGACCAGCCGUUGGGUGCCUAGCGCACUUUGUGGCGAAGUUAACGCGAUAAGUCGACCGCCUGGGGAGUACGGCCGCAAGGUUAAAACUCAAAUGAAUUGACGG